GCCUUUAAAGUUUAAACGCUUUAGCUUUACUUUCCUGGGCAGCUUCGUGAAUACUUUCACUAGAGCCUUCAUCACAUGAUUCACAUCCUCAUUUCUCCGGAAAAUUCUCAUGGAGCGAGAUUUAAAAGCAGCAAAAGCCUCGUAUCUCUCAAUCUUAUUCUGAUCGAUGCGAUAGAUAAAUAAGAUCAAUCUCUCAUCGAUCACCCCAGCUUGACAGAUGAUUGAAAUAUGUAUUUUGAAAUUAGAUUCGAUUGGUUGAUGAUUGUAUAACCCCCCACUCUCAUUUGCGGGCAUAAAGGUUGAAACGGUCGCAGUCUCCGAUGACAAAAGGAUGGACUUUUUUUCGGUACUGGUGCUGCUUCGGAUGAGGAUCAUGAUGUAUGGCGUUGGGGGGAGGCAAUUAUAAGGGAGGAGAGAGGUGGAGGUGCAGUGAGGCAGGAGCACACAAGAAACACCAAUGACAAUAGAGAGAGGAUAUAAGCAAGGGGCAUUCGAGAGGGGUAUAUUUGGUGAGUCAACAUUCCGACAAACAAUAAAUACUGGUAAUUGUAAAAAUUAAAAUUGAUAAGCAAGUGCUGCCAACUUCAAGUAAAAUGUGAUUAUAUCGUAAAUAAUUGAUUAUGUAGAA